CCCUCCAACCUUGUUUCCCUCCUCCUUUGUCACUGUGGAGAAACAGGAAGGAAUGUUUAUUAAAAAAGGCUGACUAGGGUCACACCCAUAGUAAUAUCAGAUUUUUAACCUCCCCUGGCCUUGAGAAGAGGUUCAAAGAUCAGGGCCCAGCU
ensembl:misc_RNA